rnacentral:rRNA from 1 species
GACGAACGCUGGCGGCGUGCUUAACACAUGCAAGUCGAACGCGCUUUACUCCUUCGGGAGUAAAGCGAGUGGCGAACGGGUGAGUAACACGUGAGCAACCUGCCCUUGACUCUGGAAUAA